UAUCUACUCCCUCCGUCCGGAAAUAGUUGUCAUCAAAAUGGAUAAAAGGGGAUGUAUCUAGACGUAUUUUAGUUCUAGAUACAUCUCUUUUUAUCCAUUUUGAUGACAACUAUUUCCGGACGGAGGGAGUACAUA
rnacentral:pre_miRNA from 1 species